rnacentral:rRNA from 1 species
CCUACGGGUGGCAGCAGUGGGGAAUCUUGCACAAUGGGCGAAAGCCUGAUGCAGCGACGCCGCGUGCGGGAUGAAGGCCUUCGGGUUGUAAACCGCUUUCAGCAGGGACGAGGCGAAAGUGACGGUACCUGCAGAAGAAGCCCCGGCUAACUACGUGCCAGCAGCCGCGGUAAUACGUAGGGGGCAAGCGUUAUCCGGAUUCAUUGGGCGUAAAGCGCUCGUAGGCGGUCUGUUAGGUCGGGAGUUAAAUCCGGGGGCUCAACCCCCGUUCGCUCCCGAUACCGGCAGACUUGAGUUUGGUAGGGGAAGGUGGAAUUCCUAGUGUAGCGGUGGAAUGCGCAGAUAUUAGGAAGAACACCAGUGGCGAAGGCGGCCUUCUGGGCCAUAACUGACGCUGAGGAGCGAAAGCUAGGGGAGCAAACAGGAUUAGAUACCCCGGU